rnacentral:lncRNA from 1 species
GAAGGCAUUUCAAAGACCUUUGUAGCAGCCCUUGUUGUCACUGGCCCUGGGGCUUAGGAAAAAAGAAUGUUUUUUCUGGGCCAGCCCUAUGGCCCCACUGCUAUGUGCAGCCUCAGGACACUGCUGCCUGCACCCCUACACCUUCAUCUCCAGCUCCAGCCAUGGCUGAAAGAUGCACAGGUACAGCUUGGGUCACUGCUUCAGGGGUGCAAGCUCCAAGUCUUUGUGGCUUCCACAUAGUGUUAAGCCAGCAGGUGCACACAGCACAAAACUAGAGGCUUGGGAGCCUUUGUCUAGACUCCAGAACAUGGGAGAGCCUUGGGAGCCUUCGUCUAGACCCCAGAGCAUGUACAGAAAAACCUGGGUUUCCAGGCAGAAGCUUUUCCAAGAGGCAGACCCUCCAUGGGAAAGCUUUUCUAGGGCAUUACAGAAGGAACAUAUAGAGUUGGAACCCCCACACAUGGAGG